rnacentral:lncRNA from 1 species
CCCCCUGUUAAUACAUUCCAGAAAAAAAGACAAAGUGUUUUUAAAAUUUACACUACUGAAAAAAAAAGUAACGCCAGUUAAGGAAAAAACAAAAUUUCCAAAUUAUGCUUUUUAAGAAAGAAGAAAGGAGAGAACACUAUUAAUACAAUAUCUGAUGUGCUAAAACCCUUUUAAUUGCUUUAGAACUCAAACCUGCUUUCGCUUACUUGAAAUCGUUGCAUAACUCAGAAGUGCUCUUAUAAUUCAAGCCAAAUGGUAGGGCACUUCGACGCGCUGGAGAAAUUGACUCAGAACUUUAAAGAGAGGCCGGCCAAGUUAUAAAUCGUAACUCUCCUCGGGAGGGAAGAGGUUAACUCAGAUUCCACUCACACACAGACUGGCAGAAUGUUUCCAGGGAGAGUGAGUGUGUGUGUGCGUGUGCAUGUGUGUGUGUGCAUAGAUGGUUUUUUUUCUUUUUUUAUUUUCUUUCCUUCUCUCUCUCUCUUUUUUUUUUUUAAACUCAGUAGGGGUUUGGAGAAGAGGUUUGGAAGGGAAGGAGAGGGCUGGUUCCAGGCCCCCUGCAUUCCCCAGAGCACCAUAAAGGAAGAGAGAGGCUUCCUGCCCGGGCAGCCAUCUGGAACAUUCUGCAGCGGCAGGGCCCCUGCACUGCAGUCCCCAAACCCGGGGUAGGCUUCCAGAAGAAAGAGAAAAACAACAGAAGUGCUGACAGCAAUAACCCUGACAAUAAUAAGGAUUGUUGUGGAGAUCUCGUCUUCAAAGCAGCGGUUGGAAUCAGUACUUAUGCUGGAAGUCAUCUCUGUAAACGAAUCUCCCAAAUUCUCCUUUUUUUGUGUGUAUUCUUUUAGGAAAUAAUCUUUUGAGAGCACAUCUUGGAGUGUUUAAGAGCAUUUUCUCAACUAAAAUGGAGACUUCCUAUAGGCUGAUUUCUUUCAGAAAUCCUAAAGCCCAUUGAAGCUCGUAUUUUCAAUAUGGAAAUUCUCUUCGUGAUGAAAGCCAUACUUUGUAAACGUGGAAUGUGAGCUUCAUAGUUGAAAUGUUCUUGAAAAUAAUAACUGUGCCAGUGAACUUCAAGCUGAUGAAGGCUAAUAGGCUCUGGAGUCGGAACAGAUCUCACUGCUUGGAGCCAGAUAGGAAUUUGGAACCAGCAGUUAUGUGUCGAAUCAGCCUAGAUCAGACCAGUCGCGGCUCUUGGGGGGAAAGGCAUGGGUGCCAGUGACAGGAGUCUGCUGCUUGGGCAGGUGAUUGAGGGGUAGAGACUAUUGGGUCCACUGAGGUGCACCUGGGUGCUAGGAAGGCUUUCUCUGUGAACCUGCACUGAGAUAUGGAAAGAAAGCCAAGAAAAACACAGUUGGUGCAGCAGCGCCAGACUGAGACCUGGAUACCGAAGUCAGCAGGUUCUAGGAGAUGAGAAAUCAUCUAAUGAAAGUGCUGUCUCUAGCCCGCGGGCCUGCUUAUUUGUUUUCAGUUUCCUUUCCCUCCUCCCUGUUGUGGUCAGAGGUAGACCUAGAGCAGCAUUUAAUUGUUU